AAAGUUGGACAUGAGCACAGGACAUGGUAUCAUUUACGAAGAAACAAGCAGAUCUUUUCUUCCCCCCUGAUUUUGUUGAUGAUUUUCCAGUUUCCAUGUAGAUAUCUCAAAAAUACAAUUUGAUUUAUGUGAUUACGAAACUUGGGCUACUAUUUGUGUAUGAUUUGAAGACAGUUAUAUCUGUGGGAGGCCUUUAUGCCAUCAACAGGAGAGGCCAGGUCUUAUUGGUUACUGUUAAUGAACAAACCAUUGUGAAUUUUGUCAGUGGUCAAUUAAACAAUUUGGAGCUAGCAGUUAGUCUUGCCAAAAGAGGAAAUCUACUUGGUGCUGAGAAACUGGAUCAAAUCAAGGUAGCAAUAAUUUGACUUUGAGAGGGUGGCCACUCACUAUAUUUGAUAACACAUUUCCAAUGGAGCAACAUGUCAUAAAGGAUGUUCGAGAACAGUGGACUGAAUUUUAUUUAACCAUUUGUAAAUGAUUAAAUGUUUCAAUAUUACAUUUUGAAUUUAGGAACUAUUUUAUGUGUAACUAUAUUAAGUAACUAUGUUAGGUAAAUAUAUUUAGGAACU